rnacentral:SRP_RNA from 1 species
CCGUGCUAGCCGGGGAGGUAGCGGCACCCUUUUUCUGCAAUCCGCUAUAGCAGAGGUGAUGGUCUUGUUUCGGGUUGUCUUCUGUAGAGCUGCCCUCUACAAGUGGCGUUGAUAUCUGGGUCUCACGCAAUAGGAAUCCACGAACCGUGUCAGGUUGGGAACAAAGCAGCACUAAGUGCUGUGGAAGGCGACACAAGGCAGGCCGCACGGAUUUUUUUAUUAUCAUAG